AAAGAUUAAGCCAUGCAUGUCUAAGCACAUGCCUUAAUACGGUGAAGCCGCGAAUAGCUCAUUACAACAGCCAUCGUUUAUUAGAAUAUCGUUAUCUUACUUGGAUAACUGUGGCAAUUCUAGAGCUAAUACAUGCAAUAAAGCUCCGCCCGAAAGGAACGAGCGCAUUUAUUAGAAUAAAAACCAAUCGAGCUUCGGCUCGUAAUUUGGUGAAUCUGAAUAACUUUGCCAAUCGCACAGUCCUAGUACUGGCGAUGUAUCUUUCAAGUGUCUGCCUUAUCAACUUUCGAUGGUACGCUAUACGCCUACCAUGGUAGUAACGGGUAACGGAGAAUAAGGGUUCGACUCCGGAGAGGGAGCCUGAGAAACGGCUACCACAUCCAAGGAAGGCAGCAGGCGCGCAAAUUACCCACUUCCAGAACGGAGAGGUAGUGACGAAAAAUAACGAGACAGUCCUCUUCGAGGUCUGUCAUCGGAAUGGGUACAAUUUAAAUCCUUUAACGAGGAUCUAUUGGAGGGCAAGUCUGGUGCCAGCAGCCGCGGUAAUUCCAGCUCCAAUAGCGUAUAUUAAAGUUGUUGCGGUUAAAACGCUCGUAGUUGGAUCUGCGGCCUCGAAGGAUGGUCUCCCUAAAGGGUAGUCACUGUCUCUUCUAGCCUAAAUUCGAGUUGUCUUUAGGUGCUCUUUAUUGAGUGCUUAGAGCGACUAGAACGUUUACUUUGAAAAAAUUAGAGUGCUUAAAGCAGACGAAAUAGUCUGAAUAAGGUGCAUGGAAUAAUGGAAUAGGACCUCGGUUCUAUUUUGUU
rnacentral:rRNA from 1 species